AUGCCCCGUUGUAAUGCACGGGCAUGUUUUCUUGCAAAAUUUAUUUUAAAUGUUUUUUGCUGGUUGAUUAUGUUUGGAGUUCCUUUCUUUGUUAUUAUCUUCAUUGCAUUGCUAGUUUCUUUUAUCCGGUACCAUUUUGUGGUUAUAUAUGCUUUACUUAUUCACUUAGAAUAUCAAUAUCUUAUCGGUGAAUCGGUUCACUUGCACAAGGAUCUUGCCAAAACAUCAAGUUUCCCGAACAUAAAAAUUAUGUCAUUUCGGUGGAAUAAAGAAUUUAUCUCUAGCACGGUGAAACAAAUAAUUUAUCUCUAG
rnacentral:rRNA from 1 species